rnacentral:rRNA from 1 species
AGGAACAUGUGGUUUAAUUCGAUGAUACGCGAGGAACCUUACCUGGGCUUAAAGUGGGGAGUGACAGCUGUCGAAAGAUGGUUUUCUUCGGACACUCUUCAAGGUGCUGCAUGGUUGUCGUCAGCUCGUGCCGUGAGGUGUCGGGUUAAGUCCCAUAACGAGCGCAACCCUUACCGUUAGUUACCAUCAGGUUAAGCUGGGGACUCUAGCGGGACUGCCACCGUAAGGUGAGAGGAAGGUGGGGAUGACGUCAAAUCAGCACGGCCCUUAUGUCCAGGGCUACACACGUGUUACAAUGGCCGGUACAAAGGGCAGCUACUUCGCGAGAAGAUGCUAAUCUCGAAAGCCGGUCUCAGUUCGGAUCGAAGUCUGCAACCCGACUUCGUGAAGCUGGAUUCGCUAGUAAUCGCGCAUCAGCCAUGGCGCGGUGAAUACGUUCCCGGGCCUU